AAAUAAAGCGAAUAGCGCUAGUUGGUCAAUAACAUCGCAAGCGUUUUGCAAGGUACUAUGCGAUCUUCAUAUCAAGAUCAUAUCGUUGGACUCACCAUUGUGCCGGUAAUUUGUUGGACCGCCAAUUUCGUGCGACUCCGAUCGACCGAAGCUUGAUCGUCGUGUGAUCGUCGCGUGAGCAACGGCGUCAAUGAUCCAUCGCCCGUCGGUCGAUCGUAUUUUUUGAUCUGCGGGUGUUUGUUUUCAGACUCAAUUCGUACGUUUAUCAGUAUACGUGACAACAUGGACGUAAUAAUCGUUCGGAGACAUGCGUGUGUCGCGUGUUAGCAACGACUCUGACCAACCGGUCGAAAAGUUAUGUUACGCAUCGCGCCGCGGCAUGAUAAAGGUAACCGCGCGUACUUCUGCGAUCGAGAUUUGUCGUCUACCGUGAAGUGCCGUCGAGGAUGUUGCGCGACUGUCGAGGUGAUUAUUGCUAAGUAGUAAUGUUUUCGUAAGUGACUGCCAUAAAAAAGCAAUAAGCAGGAACAAGAGAGGAGGAGGAGAAUCUGGCAGGCACCAAGCAAUAGCGGGGCAACACGAGACUACGACGUUGAAAACUCCGCUGCUGCGCAUCGUGUGUCGAAAACUGAAUAGUCUAGCGUCGAUGGCGAUAGAGUUCGCAAUUUUCCACCGCGGUAUCGUAGGAUCAUCCGUUUCAAACAUUUCCAUGGCGCCGUGUCUGGAGUCGUUAUUAGUGCUACUAUCUAUAUUAGUCUAAUGAUGACGCGUAUACCAUGUUUUUCCUUAUCGAUCGAGAACGUCUAGAGGAUAAGCAAUAGCAUUCUUGGAAAAUUCCUUUCUGGUAUUGAUUAAUUAAGAAUGGCACCGCCUCGUGUGGGAGCAGACUGUUGUUUCGUUCGUUUACGCGUCGGGUAGGGUCCAAGUUCAGUGCCCGACUUGGCUCUCUAUAACCGGGAGGAAGCAACAGAAUUUUUUCUCCAUGUUCUUUUUCUUAUCGUUGGCGCCAGCAAUAGCUUAAGUGUUCUCAUUAAUCGUACUCGCUGGACUUGUCGCGAAAUACGUUACGAAUGAAAGGUGUCGGCGGCAUGCGAACGCCAUACGUUUUAAAAAUAUUCAUUGACUUCUAAUUUGCUGCGGGAGUUAAUUAAACGCGUGCGAUGCGUAAUGUGCAAAAAAAAGCGACAUAAGCUACGUAACGUCCCUAUCCGUAAUUAAACAUCUUUUACUUUGCAAUUAAAAACAGUUGUACCCCCAAUUUUUCUUAUCUUUAAUUUAUAAUUGGGGACGGAAUCGUUAUUAUAGCGAUUAUUCUCGAUCAAACGUUAGUUUCAUUCUCGGCAAACCGGUCGUGUAUUAAUGGAAACCGAGGCCUGGCUACACUUGGAUAGAUUUUCUCGUAAUGCAGCAGCCAAUGAUCUUUUUAUAAAAUUGUGUCAGGUCACAGAGAGGAGCGUGUAUUCCGAGAAAUGGUGUAGAAUGUAUUUUGCAAUUUUAGACACUUGUGGCUCGAGCUCAGCGUUUUAUAUGGAAAGUCAUUAACACCGCGCUAAAUCGAUGUUUUGAAACUUGAUAAGAAAAAUACUGAUUAGAAAAGACGACAGCGAUUCACAUUUCGUCUAUAACGGCGAUCGCGGGUAAACAGGAAGAGAAUCAAAACUACUAUUUAGAUAAAAGUAAUAAGGCGGACCUCGAAAAAGUUAUCAAUCUGAUGAUUCAACAAAUGUUUGUCGGACACGUGUCAACAAAAAAAUAUGAAGAAUCAGUUCCCUCUUACAGAAAAAUCUUAAAUGACUAUACUAAAUUGCAAAAAUAUUCUUAACCCUGACUCCCUACACAUGAGUCUGACGGACCCUGCGAGUAUUCAUUUUUUGCGAUUUUGGAUAAUACAAGUUAAAAACAAAUGUAAUUACUUGAGAAUAAAAUAUUUUUGAUUCGGGUCUUGUUGUCGUUUUUUUUUAGACUCUCAGAUAUCAAUUUUAUAUAUUAUAUUAUGAAUUAAAAAAUAUGCUUUUUGUUCAGAGAUAUAGCAUGUCAAAGUUACAGGAUCCCAUAAACCCAUAAGUGGGUAGGAAAAUAACCAAAAAUAUGUGUGGGAAGCUAGAGUUAAACUUGUAAAAUGUCAUUUUAAUUGCACCUCAUGUAUUCCUAAUUAUUUCUUUCAUUUUUUUCAUCUAAAUUAUUUCUUUAGUAGUUAUAUCCAAUUGCUAUUUGUAUUUCCAUUCGAAGAAUUAGAGCUGCAAUUAGAUGUCUGUUCGUUUUCGCAUGAAAAGCGUAACCUUUAUUAAGGGGUGACAUCAACCCGGAUUCGUCGGGUUAAACUCAAAAUAGCUCAUCGCGACGCGCUGGUCAAGAAAUAAAACAUUUUUCAUUGCUGGAACAUAAGUUGCUAUAUAAACCGAGCCGUGAACCGACUUUACGUCUCGUCGUACGUCAAAAGAUUCAUAAAGCGAAUAUGGCUUUUCAGAAGCGCGAGCAUUCUGUCGUAUCUUUAGUGUGGAAUAUUGAAAAAGCAGGAUUUACACAUCUGCCAAAGACUGGAAGUCGUGCUCAUUAAAUGCUCGCGUAACGAGCGAGGGAGGAAAGAAGAAGUGGAAAGGAGGAGUGUAACGGUGUUUUGUCUUUCUCUUAUUAGCUCAUAAACAGUGCAGUCGGUAUAUCAGCUGGUUGCCCAAUUUAGCGAACAGCCAUCGACUUCUUUAUCAGCUUUUUUUGCCCUCUACAAAACACCUCCCGCCGAUUAUUGUGGACGGUUAUCGCGAACUUGCAUUUAGUCAAGGUAAUUUAAUAAGGACCAGCUAUUAUCUUUCCACCCGAUCGUAGAAUACCUUUUUAUUCUUUCCAUCGAAUCCCCACACACUCACAUAAAAGA